GAGUUUGAUCGUGGCUCAGAUUGAACGCUGGCGGCAUGCUUUACACAUGCAAGUCGAACGGCAGCGCGGGGCAACCUGGCGGCGCGUGGCGAACGGGUGAGUAAUAUAUCGGAACGUACCCAGAAGUGGGGGAUAACGUAGCGAAAGUUACGCUAAUACCGCAUACGAUCUACGGAUGAAAGUGGGGGAUCGCAAGACCUCAUGCUCCUGGAGCGGCCGAUAUCUGAUUAGCUAGUUGGUGAGGUAAAGGCUCACCAAGGCGACGAUCAGUAGCUGGUCUGAGAGGACGACCAGCCACGCUGGAACUGAGACACGGUCCAGACUCCUACGGGAGGCAGCAGUGGGGAAUUUUGGACAAUGGGCGCAAGCCUGAUCCAGCAAUGCCGCGUGAGUGAAGAAGGCCUCGGUUGUAA
rnacentral:rRNA from 1 species